rnacentral:rRNA from 1 species
AGCGAACGCUGGCGGCAGGCUUAACACAUGCAAGUCGAGCGGGCACUUCGGUGUCAGCAGCAGACGGGUGAGUAACACGUGGGAACGUACCCUUUGGUUCGGAAUAACGCUGGGAAACUAGCGCUAAUACCGGAUACGCCCUUUUGGGGAAAGGCUUGCUGCCGAAGGAUCGGCCCGCGUCUGAUUAGCUAGUUGGUGGGGUAAUGGCCUACCAAGGCGACGAUCAGUAGCUGGUCUGAGAGGAUGAUCAGCCACACUGGGACUGAGACACGGCCCAGACUCCUACGGGAGGCAGCAGUGGGGAAUAUUGGACAAUGGGCGCAAGCCUGAUCCAGCCAUGCCGCGUGAGUGAUGAAGGCCUUAGGGUUGUAAAGCUCUUUUGUCCGGGACGAUAAUGACGGUACCGGAAGAAUAAGCCCCGGCUAACUUCGUG